UGUAAAUGAUGUUUUAUCACGAUGGUCUACUGAUAUCAUUGAUGAGAUGCCUUAUGGCUUUUAUCUGAUGCAGCAAU